ACGCCACAGCACGAACACUUUGGGACUGACCCUGUGUUUAUUGGGGUGCGGGAAGUUACACCUUCCUAAGUUUCUCCUGAGCAGCGUGUGCCCAGGAGAAGGGGAGCCCUUUGCAGCAGAGAGCGGAGAAGGCACAUCCGGGGACGCUUGUUGCAGCCUGUUCCUUUGUACCCAGCAGCUACCCUGUGGGCCUGCAGGGGGCGAUGUCUCCCCCGGAACUGGAGCACACGGAGGGCCGGGGCUUUGUGGACAGCGGCGUGGUCCAGCCUUUGGUAGAAGACGGGACGUGAUGGUGUCACCGCUGGUGUUCUCUUCCCAUUGCCGCCAGGCAGAAUACCUUUCCAAAUAUUUUGUACCAUUAUGAUUUUAAAAUCUGGCAGUCCACCACACACCAGCUGCGGAGGCCCGCCCAAGGAUGUGCGUGAAUCAUUCCGACAUGGAGAAACCCCUGGGAAUACAUGCCACACAACGGGUC
rnacentral:lncRNA from 1 species